GACAGAGGCCUCGAGCGUUAGGCGGAAUCACUGGGCUUAAAGCGUGUGUAGGUGGAUGCCUAAGUGCCUUGUGAAAUCCCACGGCUCAACCGUGGAACUGCUUGGCAUACUGGGUGUCUUGAGCCACUUAGGGGUUACCGGAACAAACGGUGGAGCGGUGAAAUGCGUAGAUAUCGUUUGGAACGCCAAUGGUGAAAACAGGUAACUGGGAGUGUGCUGACACUGAGACACGAAAGCCAGGGGAGCGAACGGGAUUAGAAACCCCCGUAGUCC
rnacentral:rRNA from 1 species